CCGCCCUGGCCGCCGGGGGCCCCGGAGCGUCUGCGCGCGGUGGGCGCCUCGCCCCUCCGCCCUCUCUGUUCCGGGAAGCCCCGUCCGAGGGGACGCGCGCCGUCGUGACGCGCGGUGGCCGGAGCGGGGGCGCUCUCCUCCGCCCGGGUCGUGGAGGAAAACGUGUUCGCCGCGAGCCUACUUAACGCCAAGCACAGUUGCACGGGUGCCCCAUUAACGACGGCAGAGACAGCAGUCCUCUCUCCUGGGACUUGCAGUGCUUGAGGAGACAGACAAUUGUUGGGAAAAAUAGGAAAAUGUCAGGGCCCCUCGGAUGUUCAGAACCUUGUCGAGCAUUUGCUGUAAAUGUCCUCAGGUGUGCCUGUUACUGCUUAAGAAUAAAGUUCAAACUCCUGAGAGUGGCAUUCACAGCGUUUCCAUCUAGCUUUGCCUGUCUUCCCAAUACUCCUGGUCUCCCGACACAUCCGUCAGUCGUGAAGCGUGGUGUGGGUCCUCGAACACAGUACAUUCUUUCUUGACUGAUUUUGCACAUGCUGUUGCUUCUGUUUGGAAUGCCCAUUUUUCCUUCUGUGCCUGACCAACAUUUUGUGUGAUUCAGCUAAAAAAUUCACCUCUUCUGUGGCCUACUAUUGCCACCUUUUCCCUCUCUGAACCUUUUAACACUUUGCAUGCACAAUGGAGUAUGUUAGAUUAUCAUAAAGGUUAUUAUGCGAUUUUCUGAGUUUGAUUCCUUCAACAGCCCUCCACAUAAAAGAUUUUUCAAGAGCACGGGCCACUUUUUUGGUUCUAGUACCUGAUUCAAUAAACAUUUUAUAUUUGUGUGUGCAUGUGUAUAAAUAACCAUGCAAUAAUUUAAGUCAUAUUCUAGGUACAGUGUAGAGGAUUAAAAACUGUAUAGACUAUAUACUGUAUGGUUCCAACCAUGUGACUUUCUAGAAAAGGCAAAACUAUGGCGACAGUUAAAGGAUCGGUGGCUGCCAGGGGUGGGGGAGAGAAAGGGAAGAAUAGGUGGAGCACAGAGGAUUUUUAGGGCAGUGAAACUACUCUGUAUGAUACUAUAAUGGUGGAUUUAUGUCAUUAAACAAACCCUCAGAACCACACCAAGAGUGAACCCUAAUGUAAACUUACAGACUUUGGGUGAUGUUGAUGUGUAAGUGUAUAAAUGUAUCAAUUAUAACAAAUAUACUACUCUGGCAGGGGAAAUUGAUAAUGGGGGAUCAGGGGAUGUAUAAAAAUCUCUCUACCUUCCUCUCAAUUUUGCUGUAAACCUAAAAGCGUUUUGAAAAAUAAAGCCUAUUUUAACAAAACAA